UGGGGAAUAUUGCGCAAUGGGCGAAAGCCUGACGCAGCGACGCCGCGUGAGGGAUGAAGGUUUUCGGAUCGUAAACCUCUGUCAGAAGGGAAGAAACCGCACUGUGCUAAUCAGCAGUGCCUUGACGGUACCUUCAAAGGAAGCACCGGCUAACUCCGUGCCAGCAGCCGCGGUAAUACGGAGGGUGCAAGCGUUAAUCGGAAUUACUGGGCGUAAAGCGCACGUAGGCUGCUUUGUAAGUCAGGGGUGAAAUCCCACGGCUCAACCGUGGAACUGGCUUUGGUACUGCCUAGCUUGAAUCCGGGAGAGGGUAGCGGAAUUCCAGGUGUAGGAGUGAAAUCCGUAGAUAUCUGGGGGAACAUCAGUGGCGAAGGCGGCCACCUGGACCGGUAUUGACGCUGAGGUGCGAAAGCGUGGGGAGCAAACAGG
rnacentral:rRNA from 1 species